rnacentral:rRNA from 1 species
GACGAACGCUGGCGGCGUGCUUAACACAUGCAAGUCGAACGGUAAGGCCCUUCGGGGUACACGAGUGGCGAACGGGUGAGUAACACGUGGGUGAUCUGCCCUGCACUUCGGGAUAAGCCUGGGAAACUGGGUCUAAUACCGGAGAGGACCAUUGCCUGCAUGGGUGGUGGUGGAAAGCUUUUGCGGUGUGGGAUGGGCCCGCGGCCUUUGAGCUUGUUGGGGGGGUGAAGGCCUACCGAGGCGGCGACGGGUCGCCGGCCUGGGAGGGUGACCGGCCAAACGGGGAAUGAGAUACGGCCCAGACUCCUACGGGAGGCAGCAGUGGGGAAUAUUGCACAAUGGGCGCAAGCCUGAUGCAGCGACGCCGCGUGAGGGAUGACGGCCUUCGGGUUGUAAACCUCUUUCAGCAUCGACGAAGCGCAAGUGACGGUAGGUGCAGAAGAAGGACCGGCCAACUACGUGCCAGCAGCCGCCGUAA